rnacentral:tRNA from 2 species
AAGAUUUUAAGUUAAAAAAACUAUUGACCUUCAAAGUCAAAAUUAAAUACAAAAUUAAAUCUUA